ensembl:lncRNA
GAAAAGGAUCUGCAGUUGUUGGUGAGCGCUUGGCUGAGCAUGAGCCAGCAGCAUGCUGAGGUGGCCAAGAAAGCCAAUGGCAUCCUGGCUUGUGUCAGAAAUAGUGUUCCCAGCAGGAGCAGAAUGAAUACGUUGUCUGAAGACAAGCAGCUUUGGUCUCUAUGAAGGAACAAAGAAUGACAGUCCCUUGCAUUACAGGAAAGCUUUCAGCUGCAAUUCUGUCAAAAUCAGUUCAGGCUGCAUUACCUAGUCAGAUAUCCAUCUACCCAAAGCUUUGAGACUAUUCAAUAACUUCCUAAGAGGCUUAUCACUGUGGAAGUGAAGCAUGAAUACACCGUGGCAGAGACUUGACAAACUCCAGAAUUGUCUCCAACUGCAGGAAGGCUGAACUUUAUAUGAACAGCCAACAACCUCACAGGAACCAACUACAACUACACCUCGCUGCUCUUGAAAGGCUCUACUGAAAGUCUAGGGAUAACAAGAAAUUCCGAAUGAG